UACGUAGGUGGCAAGCGUUGUCCGGAUUUACUGGGCGUAAAGAGCGCGCAGGCGGUCGUUUAAGUCGAAUGUGAAAGCCCCCGGCUCAACUGGGGAGGGUCAUUCGAUACUGAUCGACUUGAAGGCAGGAGAGGGAAGUGGAAUUCCGGGUGUAGUGGUGAAAUGCGUAGAGAUCCGGAAGAACACCGGUGGCGAAGGCGGCCCGCUGGGCAGGAUGCUGACGCUGAGGCGCGACAGCGUGGGGAGCAAACAGG
rnacentral:rRNA from 1 species